UACGUAGGGUGCAAGCGUUGUCCGGAAUUAUUGGGCGUAAAGAGCUCGUAGGUGGCUUGUCACGUCGGGUGUGAAAGUUUGGGGCUUAACUCCAGGUCUGCAUUCGAUACGGGCUGGCUAGAGGUAGGUAGGGGAGAACGGAAUUCCUGGUGUAGCGGUGAAAUGCGCAGAUAUCAGGAGGAACACCGGUGGCGAAGGCGGUUCUCUGGGCCUUACCUGACGCUGAGGAGCGAAAGCGUGGGGAGCGAACAGG
rnacentral:rRNA from 1 species